GAAACGCACGCAUUUUUAACGUUGGUUUUGUCCGUCUGACGACAAAAAUGAAUCCAUUGUUUUAAUGCGGCUUUAUCCUUAGGGAAAUGAAAAAAUCUCCACUUCGUAGCACUAUUUUUACCAUUAUUAUUAUUACAACCGAACACUGCACAACGCAUUUUAAAAAUAUAGAAUUUAACAAUUAAUACAACACUUGAAAACACAAUUCGAAUUCACUUUCAAUAGCGCGGGCGAAUAAUAAGUCAUCCGUGACGUCAGCAAGAACAACUGACUGAAAGCAAACAUGCGCAUUGCGUAAUCUCUUUCUGUAUCAUUCUUGAAUGACAUAUGUGCCUUGAGUUUAGUAAGAUAAAUAUUGGCAUUUUCUUAAGCUUUUAUCGGCUUUCGUUAGUUAUUGUAAUUCAAUUUGAUUUAAUACAUUAUCUAUAUAUAUAAAACAAAGACGGGUUUGUUCGAACACUUAUAACUCGAGAUCUGCUGAACCACUUUUCAUGGUUAUUGAUUUGUUGGAUUUGUCUCCACCCCGAAUAGCAGAAUACAUAUUAAAAACAAUGAAAACUCGAUAAAAUUGGAUAAUUACAAAUAGUAACUUUUUUCCAUACAAUUUUUUUUUUUCAAUUUUUGUUUGUUUUGUUUUUCAAUAUUUUGUUUGUAAAUUAUUUGAAUAGUUUAAUUUCGGUCGCUUGCUUUUUUAUUCCGGCUAUUGAAAAGAAAAAUUAUUGAAAAUUAUUCAGAGAAAACGUUACGUGUGUUUCACACAAAGAGGUCAACUGCAGAUUGAAAUUUGUUACGAAGUCACGAAGAGGUCGCCCUAAUAUCGGUCGGCGUUCGUUUUACCAUCAACGUAUGGCAGCCCAAGGCAAGGCAAGGCAAGAAGUACUCCCAGGAUGCGGUAACGUUUGAUUGACUUUAUCUUGAAGCAACGUAUAUAUGGUGCUAUUGGAUGCUAGAUGUACUCUGUUGAGUGGCAAAAUAGAGGUUUUCGACACGCACACAUUCUUCUUUGGAUGGUGGAUGGUGGUUAUACCAGAUCAAAUUGAUGAAAUCAUUUCUCCGGAAAUUCCUGAUGUAGAGAAAGAUCCAGUAUUAUAUGAAGUGGUGGAAACCAAUAUGGUUCAUGGACCUUGCGGACACUACAAUCCCUUUUCGGUUUGUAUGUCUGACAAUAAAUGCACGAAACAGUAUCCCCGUGCUUUUCUUUCGGAAACACAAACUGGAAAUGAUGGAUAUCAACUCUAUCGGCGUCGCUCACCAGAUAACAGAACAUUCAGCAUUCAACUUAGAAGAGUGAAUAUCGAAGUUGACAACACAUGGAUCGUACCACUUUUGUCUAAUUCAUAUUCAAAACUCAUAUCAAUUUUUAGUAUUGCAGUUUGGUGAAAUCGAUAAAAUACGUUUGUAAGUACGUCACCAAAGGAAGCAACAUGGCGAAUAUUGGUCUUUAACGAUACGGUCGAUACGUGAACUGCAAUAAAGCGCUUUUUAAUUUGGAGAAUGGGCAAAAGGUAUAUUUCAACCCAGAGAAUACAGUAUAGCCAGUGGAAACAUCGCCAGCAACAAAAUUAACAUUUUCGAGUUUUUUCUCAAAUUUCGUCAGUGAUAAGUUUGUGGGAACAUUGCUCUAUUCGGACGUGCCUUGAUAUUAUACAUGGAAUGCCUCGUCGAAGAAAUAGUUACGCAGAAAGCAAGGCCAACCAGUAGAUUGACAUCCAGGUGUCUUAUCAACUAAUGCAUUAGGACGAAUUUACACAAUCCACCCGAAAAACGACGAUUGUUUCUACCUUCGGUUGCUAUUGACUAAUGUACGCGAUUCAACUAUAUUUGAGUCAUUGCUUACUGUGAAUGGUUCGAUGUGUGCAAGUUUUGGAGAAGUAAGCCAGCAAUUACAUUUGCUGGAACACGUUGCAAUUAAAAUGAAGUUCGCAUACUUUUCGAUAUAAACAUCGACAUUGCCAAAGACAUUUUACAUCGUCUUCGCUAAAAAUUGGAAAUGGUACAAUUUCGGUUGAUACUUCCGGUGGCUCGAUAUCAAUUCACGAAAGAUGAACUCAUCACAAAUGUUCGGACAUUGGAUAAAUUAUCGUAACUACGAUUCCUUAAAUGCACGCGCAAUGUUAGCUGCCAAAAAUAUCGAUGUUGUUGACUUAAACUGGAAGAUUCAAAGUCAAAUUCCGGGAGACUUGCGCUCAUAGAAAUCGAUCGAUCGUCUUGAGAAUGAAGACGACGCCGUGAAUUAUCCAGUGGUAUUUCUAAAUUCUUUGGACAGGCUUGGUAUGCCACCGCAUCAUUUGCGUCUCAAAGUAGGAUCCGUCUUUAUUAUGUUUUGCAAUCUUCAUGCGCCGAAUACAAGGGGGAGAAUGCUUGAUUCUACGAAUUCUUUUGAGUUCUAACGAUUUUCCAUUUCAGUUCAAACGAACUCCGGCAUAUAUAAGGAAAUGCUAUGUUUUUCACACGGCCGUAGCGAGCACACGAGUUGGAAAACCAUCUUUUCUGUACACCGGAACAUAAACCAAAAAACGUUGUUUAUAAAGCUGCGUUACAUUGAAAAAAAAAAAUGAAAUGAUAAAUUUAACUUUCUUUUCCGUUUCAGGACAACGGCUGCGGGGUCAGCUAGUUUAAUAUAUAUUAUUAUUAGAUUGUUUUCUUGUGCAAUUUAAAAAUUUAAAAUACCAGAUCCGAUAUUCCAAUAUUAAUUCUUUCCUCCAUUAUUAUUUGCUUUAUUUCUUCUAUAUCUAAAACUAAUGUAUCCUACAAAUUUGAAUUCAUACAAAUAAAUGUCAAUGGUAAAAAUAACGAUUUUUCAAUGUCUGGUUACCAGCAUCCGUUGUACAAGAAAUUCCUGUACUUUUGCCGUUGCGCGGCUGAUAAGUCACGCAAAUUAACAAGCAAAACAUUGGUUCUCAGAAGUACAACGGACAAGUUCAACUGCGCAACGCUAAAAGUACAGAAAUUUCUUGCAGGCAAUGGUUAUUCAGCAGAAAGUUAUAAAGCUCAAACGUAAAACGAGCAACGCAAACUUCGCUGCUUAUGUAAUAUCAACUACGCUGAAACACUAAAAUCAAGUGUAUCGACGUGGGAAUCAGCCCAAGAUCUAAAAGGACAAAUACAGCGAGAAAUAUCGAUUCAGAAUGUCAUCGGAACUAUGAUGGAACCCAGUAAAAGGUUCAACGCCAGCAACACAGUUCAUAUCGCGUACUGAAGAAUUGUAACAAUGCUACGGCUAGAAGGAGAACAUAGUCUUAGUCGAAGUUCAACACAAAAUGAAAGGCAUUGCCAAACAUUGACUAAAUGCACAACCACUUUUUCAAAUAUGGUUACAAUUCGAAAAUGCAUUUAGAGCACAACGCAGCGGCGACGCAUAAGUUACUUAUGAAUCGUAAACGUAAAAACGCCGAAGAUUGCAUAAAGUACUUUUACUCCAUGUUAACCAUAGGCAAGGUAGGGUAGAUGACGUAUCCAUCAAUAUGCAUAUCAUCAGCGGUCUCUACAAUUUUGCAAUAACGAAGCCAUUAGAAACGAUGAAUUUAACAACGUCGACUGAACUAUUGGUGGCAUUAAAGAAUCUAUCAGCAAUUAGUAGAAUAUCGGUAACAUCAAUACCACCAAACCAACAUGCAACGAAGGCCGAAACUAAAUUCAACGGGAGGCACACACAAAUAGAGUUCUUCAACUGCAACGAGUUGGGACACAUUGCAGCCAGGUGUCUGCUACCAAAAUU